AACUCAUGGUGAGGGCACCGUUUCAAUAAGUCCUUAUACCUCCCCCAUGCAUCAUAUAACGUUUCUAAAUUGAUCUGCACAAAGGAAAAGAUAUCAUUCCUCAGCUU
rfam:Gossypium raimondii chromosome 2, whole genome shotgun sequence.